CGUCUUCCAAAUGACACUUAUUACAAUAUUACAAAAUGUAUAUAUUAACAAUUACUUUAUAUGAAUUAAUGAAUAUAAUCCUUAACUGAAAAUUGGAUGGUUUUCUAUUAUCAAAAUGACGGGCAGUACUGUUUUCUUCUCCUUAUAACCAAAUUAAUCAUGUUUCCUUACUUUGUUGUAAAUCAAACAGAAAAUAAUACCUGCAAAAUAAACUCAAAAUGAAUCCAUACCAUUACCAUUAGAGAAACAUAAGAAGAAGUAAGAAUUGCACCUGAAAAAUGAAGUUUCAAUUCCUCAAAGCAUUCAGCAAUUACACAGACAAAAUCGACACCGCAGCCAUGACAGGAAAACGGACGGGAGCUCGGACCUCGACGGAACCUUGUCGGAUUUUUUUUUUUAAAAAAACAGCCGGAUCUGAUUUUGUAGAACAAAGUCACUAAAAUAACUGAAAAAUGAGAGGAGAACAGUGGAGAGAGACAAAAAUGCGAUUUCGUCGGCGUUAAUGGAGGUCGCCGGAAUUUCUCGAACUAACUGAAGUCCCACGAAUUCCUGUUCUUUCUUUUGUUGUGUGUGUGUGUGUAUCUAUUUCUAACAGUGAGGACGAAGAAGACGAAAUAGUGGUCGUCUGGGAUGGGGUUCAUGACCUUGUAUUUUUCAAUGGCUGCCCGUGUAUAUCCAGUGUAUAUCGAGAGUAUCUCUAGUGUAUAUAGAAUGUAUAGUGACUGUAUAUCGAGUGUAUACCCCCUGUCUCCUUUAAGAAGAAGCCAUCCUUUUUUUUUUCGUCUGUGUUUUGAACUUCUCCUCUCGUUUCUUCUUACUUGAAUUUUUU
rnacentral:lncRNA from 1 species